rnacentral:rRNA from 1 species
GGUAAGUUCCGACCUGCACGAAUGGCGUAAUGAUGGCCAGGCUGUCUCCACCCGAGACUCAGUGAAAUUGAACUCGCUGUGAAGAUGCAGUGUACCCGCGGCAAGACGGAAAGACCCCGUGAACCUUUACUAUAGCUUGACACUGAACAUUGAGCCUUGAUGUGUAGGAUAGGUGGGAGGCUUUGAAGUGUGGACGCCAGUCUGCAUGGAGCCGACCUUGAAAUACCACCCUUUAAUGUUUGAUGUUCUAACGUGGACCCGUGAUCCGGGUUGCGGACAGUGUCUGGUGGGUAGUUUGACUGGGGCGGUCUCCUCCUAAAGAGUAACGGAGGAGCACGAAGGUUGGCUAAUCCUGGUCGGACAUCAGGAGGUUAGUGCAAUGGCAUAAGCCAGCUUGACUGCGAGCGUGACGGCGCGAGCAGGUGCGAAAGCAGGUCAUAGUGAUCCGGUGGUUCUGAAUGGAAGGGCCAUCGCUCAACGGAUAAAAGGUACUCCGGGGAUAACAGGCUGAUACCGCCCAAGAGUUCAUAUCGACGGCGGUGUUUGGCACCUCGAUGUCGGCUCAUCACAUCCUGGGGCUGAAGUAGGUCCCAAGGGUAUGGCUGUUCGCCAUUUAAAGUGGUACGCGAGCUGGGUUUAGAACGUCGUGAGACAGUUCGGUCCCUAUCUGCCGUGGGCGCUGGAGAACUGAGGGGGGCUGCUCCUAGUACGAGAGGACCGGAGUGGACGCAUCACUGGUGUUCGGGUUGUCAUGCCAAUGGCACU